UACGUAGGGUGCGAGCGUUGUCCGGAUUUAUUGGGCGUAAAGAGCUCGUAGGCGGUUUGUCGCGUCGGCCGUGAAAUCUCCACGCUUAACGUGGAGCGUGCGGUCGAUACGGGCAGACUUGAGUUCGGUAGGGGAGACUGGAAUUCCUGGUGUAGCGGUGAAAUGCGCAGAUAUCAGGAAGAACACCCGUGGCGGAAGGCGGCUCUCUGGGACGGUACUGACGCUGAGACGCGAAAGCGUGGGAGCGAACAGG
rnacentral:rRNA from 1 species